rnacentral:lncRNA from 1 species
AACGCUUGAUGCUCUUGUGCUGACCAUGAGAAUGUUCCAAACCCAGGUAUAUUUCCUCACUAGAACUGCACCAAAGUGAUUUCUGCAUACAUGUGAGUUGUCGUUUUUUUACCCCCAACAAAUCUUGAUGUUCUUACAUACAAUCUAUGCUAGCGUAAGAAAUUUUCUAUCAUCAUUUGAUGUUUAUUCUCCAAGAAGUUUGCUUUGACCUGAAAAAUAAGAAACAUUAUUAUGAAAUCUCCAUGAUUUUCCUUUCUUUUUCAUUCUUUUUAUGCUUUUUUAAAUGCAAGAUUGGUUUUAAGAAGCAUCAUCUCCAUCCAGUAUCUAGUUAUAGUAGAUGGUUAUGUUAUGUUCCAUUGAGGAUGGUAUCUAGAUAUUUAUAUGGAUGUUCUAAUUUCUGGUAGAGAUCAAUUAGUACGGAUCUAUGAAGAUCUUUUCUACAUGAUUAAUAUCCAAAACUAAUUAGUCGGACAAAAUUUCCAUGGUUGAAUUGCGAACUUGGACACCAUGCUUCCUUAGAUCACCUUUUGAUUUUAUUUGAUCAUUUUUCCUUUUCUUUUUCUUUUUUUUCCUUGAAAAAGGCAAAACAGGUGACUAGAGCUAAAAGAAUUAAGCCAGAUGAAUAAACUGGGAUUUUUUCUCUUGGUAAUUGGGUCAUUGAAGCUAUCAGAAUCAGCGGCAUUUUGUACGAUAGGGCUGAAAAGGUAUCAUACUAUCAUUUACUAUUAGUUUUGCCUUUGUUCUUUUUAUCUUCUCUAAAGGCAAAGCUAACAGUAAAUGAUAGUAUGAUACCCUAUAAUUUUGAUGGAGUAUUCUUUGUGGUCAAAAUUAUAGGGUAUCAUACUAUCAGUUACCGUUAGCUUUGCCUUUGUUCUUUUCCAUCUUCUCCAUAUUAUUUCUAUAUAACACAUUAUUCACUCAUGAAUGCCCAUUGGUCUGAAUUUAAAGUGAUCUAAUUUGUUAACCCAUUUGUUUAUUCUGACAUCUCUAUUUGGAAUUUUACAUUAUGACAAGAGAAACAUAAGAGCAUAGGCCUUUCUUCUUUCGAGUGUACAUCUAGGCGUCUUAAUCCAUUCUUGGUUAAAUAUGGAUAAUUAUAAAUUCGCAUCAAGCUGUUUCUCUAGUUUUUAUUUAGUGAAAAAUAAAUAUUUCCUAAAAUUUUCUCACUGUUUGGGGUGGGAAUUUCACCAUGCUACUUGUCACAAUAUUUACUCUUUCUUGAUUGAGACAAGACUGUACCUGAUUGGAAAUUGGGAUUUAAUGGUCUACGAUCCCCUUGAUUCUGCUGUUUAGUUUAGAGAGUAAGGCUCAAAAGUAUGUUCAGGCAUUAGUAUGGCCUAAAUAAGCUCUUAUUGCAACUUUGACAAUGGUUGUUUACUUGAGCAGCAGACUUGGGCCUAAAUAAUAAUGGCACCUGUUACAAAUAGUAAUGUGAGAGUAGAAUAUAUAAGUGGAUAAUGGAGAACCAAUAAUAUUAAUGUUCUAGGGUUGUUAUAGGCUAGAAAAUGUAAUUAGGGAAAUGUUUCUUGAAAAAUCUAGAUAUUUUUUUUUUGUUGGUUUUCCUCCUAAAAGAAUUGUGAAGUCUGCUGUUAAUAGAAAUUCAUUUCUCCCUCUAUAUUUAUUACCACUUAUGCUUGCAUACCUUUGCAUUUAUUUGCACCCAUGCUUACACGGCCUUGUAUGUACCUUUACAUUUAUAUUUCAUGCAUGCUUAGUUAUUUUUGUAAAAAUUUAUGAACAUGUAUUAAUUGUUAGCCUUGCCUAUUGGCUUUAAACAAUAUUAACCUUUACCACAAGUUUUCACCGAUCAAAUUAACAUUGUUAAUAUUUAAUAUCUGCAUGCUUUGUCCAUGCAUUUAAUUCAAAGAUGGCGCAUGCAUUUCACAAGUAUUUAUUCUAAUGCAUGCUUUUUAUUGAAUAUUAUGUGCGUUUUGUCUAAGCGUUAAAUUUGCUUAUGCAUGCUUGCUCUAUGCACUCAAUUGUGAUGCAUCCUCUUGCUAAUUCAAAGAUGACUUUAAACAUGUUUAACCUUUGCCACAACCUUCCACAGGUCAAUUCAACAUUGUUAAUGUUUAAUGUCAUACAUACUUUGUCCAUGCAUUUAAUUCAAAGAUGGCGCAUACAUUACAUGCAUUUAUUCCAAUGCGUGAUUUGUAUUAAAUGUUAUGCAUGCCUUUGUCAAAUCAUUAAAUUUGCUUAUCCAUGCUUUGUCUAUACAUUCAAUUGUGAUGGAUGCGCUCUAAAGUUAGUCUUUUUAGUUUCUAAUUAUUUAUUUAUGGCUACUAACUCUUUGACUUUUAAUUCAAAAAUAAAUAAAAUAAACAGUUGAUGUAUAUGAAUCAGCAAUGUGUGCAUAUAAUUUAAGAUUUAGUAUUUUAAAUUAGAUUUUUUUUAAUAGAAUGAUUGGUUUUUUUUAUUAGCUCAUUUCACAAGAAAUUCCCUUACGUACUAAGGUCUUUCAAUUAGAUUUAAUCCAAAAUUCAAUGUGAGUUGAGCUUUACUUUAAUUUAACCGUUGUUUUAAACCACAGCUUAUAGUGGUUGCCCCAACUUGGGUCUAUCAUAAAUUACGUACCUUAUCGGUUGGAAUGAAUCUUUGGGCUUAACAUCGAUUUUUCAAUCCACUUGGCAAGGCGAUGGAAGCAUUAAUACGGCCAUUCAUUUCAAGAAGUCUUUUAAAUGUAUUAGGGACAUUUUCAUUUUCGUUUAUAGGUGUAGCUUCCACAACGAACCAAAUAAAUGCAAAGUUGUCGUUUCUAACCAUUGAACAUAUCUUACAGCAUUUACAAAAUUAAGCAUAUUUCUCGAAUCAUUUCUACAAAAUACACAAAUAUUUUUAAACUGUCGAGUUGGAAAUUCUGUCAUUAUGACUUUUGAAUAAAAUGUGGAGGUUUUAGGUGUUUAAACCAAACUCUUUGAAAGGUUUGUAUUGAUAAAUCUAGCAACUCACUCCUUAUAUAUAUACAAAUUGUUGAUUAUAUUUUUACACUCUUUCUUCUGACAUUUGAAAAAAAAAAGCAAGAUUGUGCAUUUGACUUUUGGUACUUAGAAGCUAUAAAGGUUGUCUGGAAAACAAAUUUCCUUGUCUAGUAAUCAUUAAAAAAAAAAAUUCCACAAAGUCUUCUUUACAUCGACUGUCAAUGUGCUCAAAGUGCUUGUAAGGCUUCCCCAGUGUUAAAUAGAUUGAAUAAGAUUUUGGCAUUAUAUUGAGUUCAAGGGAGCUGCAAAAGUUUUUAAUUGCAUUCAUCAAGAAUGGUAAAAAUAAUAAUACAACGCGACGGCUACUACAAGCCAAAGGAGGUGUUGAACUGAUUUGAAUCUUGGACUUGGACUAGAUCUUGUUUUGUCAAAGCGAUUGGGUUUGUUGGCUAACCCCAAAGGAAUGAUUGGUGCCAUAUCUCAAUUUAGUAUUAAUCUGGCCUUUUUUUUUUUUUUUUAGGGUUUCUAUGGGAUUUGAUUUUAAGGCAGGAAAUUUGAUUAUGCGAUCCGUUUCUCUACGACCGCACAUCUUAAAUAAUCAAAGGGACUAAAAAUUCUACCUAAGAAUCAAUCUUAGACCUAAAGGCCUAGUCUUAUCCAUAAGGUACAUAUUUCUUAGUAGACCUAAGCUAUUGUACAAGGGCAAUCGCAGUAGGUUGUGGUUUGAAAGGUAUGAAAACAUUAGAGUGAGGCUUUGGCUAAUUCACAUUGAAGCUUUGGCUAAACCUACUUGGAGGACUUUAGUCCAUAAGGGAAUGUCUUGUGAAACGAGCUAGUCAAGAAUUAAUCAUUUAAAAAAAAAAUAGUGUAAAACACUAAAUUCUAAUUCAUAUACAUAUUAUUGAUUCACAUACAUAGACUAUGUAUUUUAUUUACUUUUAAAUUAAAGGUCAAAAGGUUGGUAUCUACAAAUAAGUAAAGUAGUAGCUAAAGAGGCUCACUUUGGCAAACAUACAUCAUAAUUGAAUAUAUAGAUAAAGUAUUCAUAAGUUAAUUUAAUGCAUAUAUAACAUUUAAUGCAAAGCAUGCAUUAAAAUAAAUGUAUGUGAUAACUUGUAAGAUGCAUGCAUCACCUUAGGAUUAAACACAUGGACAAAGUGUGCAUGACAUUAAGUGUUGGCAAAAUCAAUUUGAUUGGUGGAAACUUGUGUUAAAAGUUAAACAUGUUAAAAGUUGAUAAGCAUGACUAACAACUAAUAUAAUACUUAUAAAAUUAUCAACAAAAAUGACUGAAUAUGCAUGAAAUUUUAUGUAAGAAUGUAUGCCAAUAAAUGUAAAGGUGCAUGCAACGUUGUUCAUGUAAGAAUAGGAGUAAAUAAAUGCAAAGGGAGAAAUGAAGCCUAUAAAAAAUAGGCUUCAUAAUUCUUUUAAGAGGGAAAAAAAUUAUAGAUUUUUCAUGAAACAUUUUCUAAACGGUUUUCAAAAUACAUUUCUGUCAAUUAUCUCACAUUUUUUUCUAAUUAAUAACAACCCUAAAAUAUCUUAAUAUUAAAUUAUUAGUUCUUCUCCAUUGGUGUAAUCUACUCUCACAUCAUUAUUCACAGUAGGUGUCAUUGUUGUUUAGGUUUGAAUCCAUUAUUCAAGUUUAAUGAAACAACAACCAUGGACAAAAUCAUAGCACCAACUUAUUUUGUGUGAAUAUACUUUGGACUUUACUCUCAAGACCGCAUAACAGAAUUAGGUGGAUUAUGUGCCAUUCAACUGAACUUUUCAAUUAGGCCCAAUUUUAUUUCAAUUAAGAAAGUCUCAUCUUUGUAACACAUGGCCCAGUAAAAUUUCUGCCCGAAUUAUUCUAUAAAUAUAAGCAAUUUCUUAAACAUCUCAAUUGAAUAAUCAAAAUGCCACAAUUACUGUUCACAAUUUGAGUACUGAUUAUGUUUUGUUAUUUGAGAUCAUCAACCAAGCAGUCGGAGCCGCCGCUUGCAGCGAAGUUAUUUGAUGGACCCAAUUGCAGUUCUGGAAAAUAAAUAAAUACAUAAAAUUCUUUCCCUUAUUGUCUUCAGCUUCAUACGUCUUCGAUGAUCAAACUUUUUCUCUCUGUUUCUUCCUUUUAAACUAUCAAUUUUUCUCUUGAAAUUUUUUAACAGCAACUUAUUCAGUUCUUCCAUUUGUUAUCAAACUUUUGGCAACCACUUUCAAAUAAGGCAUUUGAUUGCUUUUAUAUUGUUUUUCUUAAAAUAAAAUAAAAUAAAAUAAAAUUCCUCUGCACGUAUCUAUGACAAAGGGGCUUCUCAUUCCAAGAAGUCAGGUUGGAUUUAUAUUUUGGAGGAACCAUAAAUUAGGCUUUAUUUGUAUUGUCGUUUGAGAUUUAGUUUCCAAUUUUGCCAUGCCGGAUUUUCUUUUUUGGGGGGAAAAAAAAAAGGAAUGAGUACUACUAUUACACGGUAUCUUCAUUGACAUGCCAUUACGUGUGACAAUUGAUGAUAAGUGACGCAUCAUUUAGAUACAAAUUACCAACUUAUAUUUCCAAACUACGUAAGCACUAAGCUAUUUGAAACUAUUUGGCCAGAAAAAUUCAGGAGAUUCCCAUUGAAAAUUAAUUCAUUUUAAGUAAAAUUUCUGCUUGACUCCCUCAAAUUUGCAGGGUCUAUGUUAUCACCUCCUAAAGUUAUUUUUCCUCAUUAUUGCCCUCGUCGGACCAAUCCUAAUUUCACCAGAGUGUGCAAGGAUAUAUGUGUAUAUCAGUGGAGCUAUGAUAAAUUUUAAAUUUGGACGUUCAUUGAUCUGGAUGAAACUAUGGUGCAACGGUUGCACCGUACCACUCAAUUUUGUCUUUUUCAAUUAAUUACAUCUCAAUACCUAUAUUUAAAAAAAAAAUGAAUAGACACUAGAAGUUACAA